UACGGAAGGUGCAAGCAUUAAUCGGAUUUACUGGGCGUAAAGGGCGCGUAGGCGGAAUCGUAAGUCAGAUGUGAAAUUCUGGUACUCAAUACCAGAGCUGCAUCUGAAACUGUGAAUCUAGAGGGUAGAUGGAGAAAACGGAAUUCCACGUGUAGCGGUGAAAUGCGUAGAUAUGUGGAAGAACACCUGUGGCGUAAGCGGUUUUCUAAUUUACUUCUGACGCUGAGGCGCGAGAGCAAGGGGAGCAAACAGG
rnacentral:rRNA from 1 species